rnacentral:rRNA from 1 species
UACGGGGGGGGCAAGCGUUGUUCGGAAUUACUGGGCGUAAAGCGCGCGUAGGCGGCUUUUCAAGUCAGACGUGAAAUCCUUAGGCUUAACCUGAGAACUGCGUUUGAUACUGUUGGGCUAGAGUGUGGAAGGGGCUACUAGAAUUCCCGGUGUAGCGGUGAAAUGCGUAGAGAUCGGGAGGAAUACCUAUGGCGAAAGCAGGCUUCUGGGCCGUCACUGACGCUGAUCUGCGAAAGCUAGGGGAGCAAACAGG